UGCAGUUGUGACAACAAUCUAUAGAGUUUGUUUAAAGCAAGGUUGUCUGUAGUCAGUGUUUAUAUAAUGUUUAAUAACUUUAAUAUACUUGUAUAAAUAAACCUAUGUAUGUUUUUGAUUCAACAGCUUCCCCCGGAAAUCCUCAGUGAAGUUAUUUUGUCAGCGGGUGACUCUGCAUAUUUGACACUUUCUCUGGUUUGCAGAUGGGUUAGGGAUGUGGUCACUCAAGAAGUUUUCCGGAAAGCGGCACACUUUGCCUGGCUAGACAUUGUGGCCAACUGGAAGAACUGUCCUCCUGUCUACCAGAACGAGUUCAGAUGGAUGUACAGCAUCAGGGAAUGCUUGCAGUGCAGAGCCCUUUUCAAGUUUAACCCACCAGGGUACAGGGAAGAGGCCGGCGUGGUGAUCUUCUGGGCUGUUGUUUACACAGGAUUUUGUUCCAAGGACUGUUUUUUUUUUUUUUUUUUUUUUUUUGCGGCAUGAAACACAUUUGUGUGUUCAUUGAAGGGAAAUAGAGAAUGAACUGAGAUCAACUGGAUUUGAUGUAUUAAUUGAUGUCAUUUAAAGUUAAACUUUGCAGUGUAUAAUGUUUUAAUAAAAAAGCUAUGGCAAACA